AAGUCGUAACAAGGUUUCCGUAGGUGAACCUGCGGAAGGAUCAUUAUCGAGUCUUGAAAGGAGGUUGUCGCUGGCCUUUUGCGAGGCAAUGUGCACGCCGCCGCUCAUUCCAACUCACACACCUGUGCACCUCUUGUAGGUCGGUUUUGCUUGGGUUUCGCGACCCUCGCCAGCCUUCCUAUGUCUUUGCAAACACCUGUCUGUAACAGAAUGUAUCUGCGAAAACAAACGCAUAAAUAUAACUUUCAGCAACGGAUCUCUUGGCUCUC
rnacentral:misc_RNA from 1 species